ACUCUCUGGGCGUGUCGAAUCGCAGCGGGGCUAAUUUUAUAACUCAAUUUUGGUUGGCUCGUUCGCUCCGGCGGGUGCUCAAAAAUAUUGU